rnacentral:lncRNA from 1 species
UCUGUUGUUAUGAGUGGGAGGUUAAAAAUAAUCUAUAACACUGGACUUAAUAGUCCAUGGUUAUAUGUAUGAUGUUACUUAAAAAAAAAAACUAAUGAAAGAAUAAUGAAAUUGCAACCUUUUUUUUUAAAAAAAAACUACUAUGAGAGAACUCAUUAAAUUAUAUUAUAUCAGACGCUCUUUCACAUACUCUCUAACCCUAACCUCUCUCCCCCUCACGGCCUCACCC